rnacentral:tRNA from 1 species
GGCUGGGUAGCUCAGUUGGUUAGAGCACGUGACUCAUAAUCACGGGGUCGGGAGUUCAAAUCUCCCCCCCGCCACCA